rnacentral:snoRNA from 1 species
UCUGGCAAAUGACGAUACAAUCUAUGCUUAACACUGAAUUUUUUGUGUUGAUACAACUCCGCUUAUUAUCUGAUGCUAUU